rnacentral:rRNA from 1 species
GCUUACGGCCAUACCAACCUGGCUAUGCCCCGAUCUCGUCUGCUCUCGGAAGCUAAGCAGGUUUGGGCCUGGUUAGUACUUGGAUGGGAGACCGCCUGGGAAUACCAGGUGCUGUAAGCU